CCUCCUCUUCUCGGCGGGGUUCGGGUGUGCGGUCCCAGUCCCUGUAAUGUACAGAGGCAGAGGGAGAGGGCUCCAGCCCCCUGGGUGUCAUGUCUUCUGUGCUGACGGUUGCCAGUCCGCCAAAAAAAAA
rnacentral:snoRNA from 1 species